rnacentral:rRNA from 1 species
AAUGAACGCUGGCGGCAGGCCUAACACAUGCAAGUCGAGCGAGCGGCGGACGGGUGAGUAAUGUCUGGGAAACUGCCCGAUGGAGGGGGAUUACUACUGGAAACGGUAGCUAAUACCGCAUACUAUCAGAUGUGCCCAGGUGGGCUUAGCUAGUUGGUGGGGUAACGGCUCACAAAGGCAACGAUGCCUAGCUGGUCUGAGAGGAUGACCAGCCACACUGGAACUGAGACACGGUCCAGACUCCUACGGGAGGCAGCAGUGGGGAAUAUUGCACAAUGGGCGCAAGCCUGAUGCAGCCAUGCCGCGUGUGUGAAGAAGGCCUUCGGGUUGUAAAGCACUUUCAGCGGGGAGGCGUUACCCGCAGAAGAAGCACCGGCUAACUCCGUGCCAGCAGCCGCGGUAAUUC